rnacentral:rRNA from 1 species
UGGGGAAUAUUGGACAAUGGGCGAAAGCCUGAUCCAGCCAUGCCGCGUGUGUGAAGAAGGUCUUCGGAUUGUAAAGCACUUUAAGUUGGGAGGAAGGGCAUUAACCUAAUACGUUAGUGUUUGACGUUACCGACAGAAUAAGCACCGGCUAACUCUGUGCCAGCAGCCGCGGUAAUACAGAGGGGGCAAGCGUUAAUCGGAAUUACUGGGCGUAAAGCGCGCGUAGGUGGUUUGUUAAGUUGGAUGUGAAAUCCCCGGGCUCAACCUGGGAACUGCAUUCAAAACUGACUGACUAGAGUAUGGUAGAGGGUGGUGGAAUUUCCUGUGUAGCGGUGAAAUGCGUAGAUAUAGGAAGGAACACCAGUGGCGAAGGCGACCACCUGGACUAAUACUGACACUGAGGUGCGAAAGCGUGGGGAGCAAACA